rnacentral:rRNA from 1 species
UACGGGGGGAGCAAGCGUUGUUCGGAUUUACUGGGCGUAAAGGGCGCGUAGGCGGCCAGUGCAAGUCAGUUGUGAAAUCUCCGAGCUUAACUCGGAAAGGUCAACUGAUACUGCUCGGCUAGAGUGCGGAAGGGGCAACUGGAAUUCUUGGUGUAGCGGUGAAAUGCGUAGAUAUCAGGAGGAACACCUAUGGCGAAGGCAGCUCGCUGGGACGGUACUGACGCUGAGGCGCGAAAGCGUGGGGAGCGAACAGG